rnacentral:tRNA from 1 species
GAGGUGUUAGUAAAAUCAUAACAUAGUCUUGUCAAGACUAAAUUACAGGUGAAAAUCCAGUACACCUCA